rnacentral:rRNA from 1 species
UUGCUGGUUGCGUGCCGAGUCACAAUAACUGCUCGAAUCGCAUGACUUUACGUCGGCGAUGGUUCAUUCAAAUUUCUGCCCUAUCAGCUUUCGAUGGUAGGAUCGAGGCCUACCAUGGCGUUUACGGGUAACGGAGAAUUAGGGUUCGAUUCCGGAGAGGGAGCCUGAGAAAUGGCUACCACAUCCAAGGAAGGCAGCAGGCGCGUAAAUUGCCCGAAUCCUGACACAGGGAGGUAGUGACAAGAAAUAACGAUACAGGGCUACAUCUAGUCUUGUAAUUGGAAUGAGUACAAUUUACAUCUCUUAACGAUGAUCAAUUGGAGGGCAAGUCUGGUGCCAGCAGCCGCGGUAAUUCCAGCUCCAAUAGCGUAUAUUAAAGUUGUUGCAGUUAGAACGCUCGUAGUCGGAUUUCGGGGCGUUCCGACCGGUCUGCCGAUGGGUAUGCACUGGCCGGAGUGUCCUUUUUGCCGGAGACCGUGCCUACUCUUAACUGAGCGGGGGCGGGAGACGGCACUUUUACUUUGAAAAAUCAGAGUGUUUCAAGCAGGCAGCUCGCUCUUGCAUGGAUUAGCAUGGGAUAAUGAAAUAGGACUUUGGUGCUAUUUUGUUGGUUUCGAACACCGAAGUAAUGAUGAGAAGGGACAGUCAGGGGCACUCGUAUUCCGCAG